UUUUUUUUUUUGGCAUCUUUUAAUUCUUUUGUAAUGAUCAUGAAAAAUAAUUUAAAAAUUAAGUUAGAGGAAUGAAAAAAAAAUUAAUAAAAAUUAGGCCCCCCUAAAGACUAUUUUGCUGUGAAAUUUGUGAUGCUUUAAUCUUAGGAAUCUGUAAAGGGAACUGAAUGACUUUCUUCUUUGAAUUACGGAGGAAUUCAACCGUUUUAUACCAGUGCUCUUCAAUAUGUGUCAUGGAGGAACAUCGGAAAGAAGAUCCCCAAAAUUUUGAGGACUCUGCGGUACAAAGAGUCAGAGAGAGGUAACUUGAAUUUCUGUGGGACUGGGGACCCCACUAUUUGUACUAGUUUCCCCUAACUGUUAUCAACCAAAAAGCAUACAACUGACAGAGCUCCAUCUCCUUUUUGGAAUCUCUGGUGUUAAUUCCUAGUUAAAGGCCACAUCAUCCUAGCGACACAAAAAAUAUGAAUUUAUUAAUUCCAAAUUAUCCUCACAGAACUCCAGCCAUCCACAGGACUGGACUUUUUUCCAUGUGCUCAGGAAAGAUGUAGACAACCCAUUCAUUUGAUUAAAAAGAAAAGGAAGCAGGCAAGCAAGAAGAAAUGUUGAAAGUCAGGUGAAUGAGACUAUCAAAUUACAGAGCUGGUAUAAAUGGUGCACUUAAUCCUAAGUAGCAUGUGACACAGAGAAACUAUGACAACACUUUGCAUUUCCUUAAGAUGAUCACUCAGCAGGUCACAUUUCCAAACAAUUUCACCAGUGCCAUAUUGUAUUACAAACCAUCCUUAAAAGAUGGAUCAAUAGCAAACUCACUGAGGAAUCAGCAAACUCUUCAGUGGCUAAAUGAUUUCCACAAGGUCAGACGGCAAGGGAUCUGACUUGUAGAGCAAAAAUAUUCCCAGGCCUGUCCCCGAUCCCAGGACAUUUAUUUUCAUUAACACAGUACAAAUACAUGUUAUCCCCCACUGUUUUGCUGGAGAUGUUCACAUGGCGUUUAAGUAAACAUGCUAACAUUUUUAAAGUUUAACAUGCUACUAUUGCCAGUUUUUAAUAUCAUUCCAAGGAUUUCACAAAGGUUAAACGAGGGAUCAACGCCGACGAGCCCAUCUCGGAUAGGUAAAACAAACUGAAAACCGAAGGAUGAAGUUUUGGGAGAGAAGUGCAAGUGGGGAGGGGCGUGGGGAGAACCAACAGAGAGUGGUAGGUAAUGAAAUACUGGGGUUGCGGGGAGAGGAGUGUAGUCGGGCUCCAUCCACGAACGCCAUCUGUAUAAAUCAGGCCUGGAGUUGACAUGUAAUUUUGUGUGGGUCCCCUGAGAAGUGGCCCUCGGGGCUUCAUUAUUGAUGAAGAGAUUUUUCUUCAAAGUGGCCUAGUCAGGAGUGCCUCAAGGGGACAUUCAUAAGCACUCAUAAUAUCAAUUUCCAAGCACCUGGGAGGGAGAGACACAGAUUGUCUCUUUAAUUAUUAUGAUGGAGGUAGAGGGUAGGGAGAAUGCUAUUACACGACCAAGCUGAAAUCCUCCAAGAAAUUAAAUUACUAUAACCUGGUAGAAAAGUUUUAUUAUCCCCUGGUCAUCCCUUAGAAAAGGGCACACUUUACCUACUCCUGGUGCAAAAUAAGUUGAUCGCCAACUCCCUCCCUCUUAGGAGUUAAAAAUGGUAUAAAUACAGUAUGUCAGGCAUGUGCAAAAACCCCAAAAAAAUAAAUAAAUAAACUUUCUUUGAAGCUUAUGUGCUCGCUUAGAGAACCUAUACAGUCCAGUUGAUACAAAGAGAUGUGGAAUUAGGCACCUUUUUUAAUAAUUGCGUAGGGAUUUCUUUUCAUAAAAGGAUAAUACCAAAUCCCUUCUAAAUAUCAUUGAGAAUGCCAGGAAAUAAUUUUCACCAAUGCUCUGGCCCUGAUUUAGUCACAAAAACAGUCAGAAAAACACCAAAGACUCAAUCCACAAAUAUACUGCAGUAAAACAGUAAAGGUUAGGGGGCAGGGGGCCAGUCAACCCUGGAUUUGAAUCUUAUUCCCAGUCUAUUCAAUGUGGAUAAUCCUGUAUAGACAAAGCCUUAGCCACAUACUUCCUUUGACUCCUGAAGCUUAUACUAAAGGGUUGGCAAUAUAACGGGUAUUAAAAAUAUUUUUUAAACAUAAAUAAAAGAAAAAUGAAGAGGAUCUCCUUGUUUGACCUGAAUUUCAAAAAACUCUUCCAUCUCAUUGGUAACACGGACAAAAAGAACUCAGGAAUUUUCUCAUAAGUCAUAUCUAUACUAUUUUUUAAUCUAUAAUAAGUCUCUUUCAUAAUUCUUUAACUUCAUUCUCCCUUUCCAAAUAUAUUUUAACAGCCAUUGAUACCAGUAGUGAAUUCUUAGAAUUGAACACUCCAGCCAAAUGGCAUCUUCAUAAAACAUAUGGUAUAUCCAUAAUAAUAAUAAUAUUUAAAAUAACCACAACCAUUCAAAAAGCAUAUAUUUUAAGUGAUGGAUGCUAAGGCAUUUUAAGUACAUGAAUCCAAUUAAUCCUUAUAACUAAUGCAUGAAAUAAAUUAAGAUUCAAUCCACUGACAGGGGGAAAAAUGGCAGUCCAGGAAACAAUGUGACCACAAUCAUACAAAUAAAAAAAUAACAGAGCCAGAAUCUGAACCCAGGCCUGUUUUAAUACAAUGGGUUUUUUUGUUUGUUUUUUUUUUGUUUAAACUACCCAUAAAACAAAGCUUGAUUUUGUGAGAUACAAAAUCAAAAAUUUUAUACCAAAGUACUGAGUUUCUAACAUCAUUAUUCAGACAACUGUGGUGAAGAGUCUAAAAGAGAAGUUGUAUGUUGAGUUAAACACAGAUGUUUCGUAUCUGCUAGUAUAACAUUUUAAUUAAAAGCAAUGGGAGCAGUAUUAAUUAUGAGCCACAGAAAAGCUAUAAUCCUGUUAAGAGUUAUCAGCAGUAUAACUGGCUCUAGGAUAUCUGUGAACACCCACAUUAUUGAUGUUUGAGGCCAAAAAAACACCUUUUGUCUUGAUACGGAGGAUUAAGAGCAAAUGAAGUCCAGGAGGCAAAACAGGUCACAUCUGAAAAUCAAAAUCCUGAUGACAGCUAAAUUUAUAAUCUUAGAAUGCUUUAUUAAAUAGUUUUUCAUUAAGGCAGGAUAUAAAUGACACAGAAAUUUCCUUAUAGUUUUUAGGAUUGAGGAUUUUUUCCUCUUAUUUGUCAUUGUGUGCACCUAGCUUCAAGAAGCAGGAAAGCAAAUUGGCCAAUUCUACUUUUCGAUCUCUUUAGCCAUACCGAAGCCUAGAAUACAUCAGACUUCUUAUCAUAUCCUCUUCACCAACAUUAUUUCAGGACCAUCUGUGUUCAGUCUCAUUGUCUUUAAUUUUAAUGUUUCUAACUUUGUGACUUUAUGCUAAUUAUUGGAGAUCUCACACAGUGACCACACAUGUUUACCUUACGGGAAGGGUCUGUUUUUCAGCUCUUGUGUUGUUGCUUGUUCUUACACAGAGUUUGGUAAAAUGGUGUACUCAAAUAGUUAAGGAAAGAUAUGAUUGCUUUGUGAUCAUCCAGUUAUCUCGGCAGUUUGACUCAAGAUCUUCUUGGUGUUUUUAUUAAUUCCUUACUGUAAACGGAGAGUUUUCCAAAAAUGGAUUUUCCUUCUAGAAUGUAAGAAAGGCUAUUGAAUUUUAGCACAUUUUUACAAUUAAGUAAUCAGUCAACACUAUCCGCUAUGAUUAAGAUGAAGCAGAUCCAAUCUAAAACUCUCCCUAGUGAUAGAUUCAUCAUUAGUCAUUAAUCUCACAUUUUUAAUUAAACUACUGAAACCAGAUUUGAAUUCAUGUGUAGGGGGCAGAAUUAAAAAAAAAAAUACCAUCCUUAAUUACAGACAUAUGUAGUACCUUGAAACUACAAGGAGCUAUCAUUUGAACAACUCUCCAAAUUUGGAGUAACUUCCCAAAUCACAUAAUCAGACACAUUUCUACUGCCCAGCUAAAUUUCCUAGGAAGGAGAAAUACUUUAUAAUUAAGAAAGUAUUGUCCACAGGACAGCCUAAAGUAGGAAGGACAGGCAUAUUUUUAACAACUCAAAUUCACACACACACAAAAUUUUUUUUGAAUUUUAGUGCUUUAAAAUCCUUGGCAAUUCAAGAUGGCAUUCCUAGGAUUUGGGGCACACCCAAUUAAUAAAAGGAAGGAGACAAAAAUGGACUCAACAAAACACAUUGAAGUUUAAAUAAAUAAAUAGCCCAUAGUUUCUGCAAAGUUGAAUCCUCUCCUUCAGGUCUCUGAACCUCCUCUCUUCUCAGGGGCAAAAUCAGUUACAGUAAAGGGAUUUGGGAAUAUCUUUUGCCAUCUCUACCAAUUCAUAAGCCUUUUUACAAAAUUCUCCUUAAAAUUUCCUUUCUCCAAGUAGUUUCCAUUAUACUCCCAUCUUUCUAAAGCCAUCGUUUUAUUAUCUUUUCUUAAUAAACUGAAAAUUAUCGAUUUUCUUCUCAAAUGAACAGAAGUCACAGUUAUCAAGAAUUUAGAAACCAUUUCUAUUUGACUCUGAAUGCAUGAUGAUUUUGUGGACACUGGACUGAAAUCCUAUUUUUAAAUCCAAAGUAAAUUUGAAAUGACCCCUAAAUUUUAUAACCCCUAAAGAGUCAUUGACUGAUAAUUCUAAGAACAGACCUUGACUUGGGGUGGUGGAAAUAGCAGUUUAGUUCAACUAUAAAUAAUUACCAAAAUUACCAAUAUUCAAAGAGUUAAUUAAAAGCUCACUGUUCUGCAUAUAUUUUCCUUCAGCCAGACUUCCAUAGUAAAUUCUCAAUUAGCCAUGUCAGUGGAGGGGAACAAGGCAAUGAACAAAAGUGAACUCUUCCAAAAUCAUCUUUACUUGCUUUGAAGAGUGCAGAUAUUGACAUUAGACCAGAUGUCAAUUCAAAGGAAAUGAAGUUAUCUGUGACGGUGUGGUUAAGGUCAGGGAAAGUGAUCAAUGCCUGAUAACCACCUUUUUGGAAACCUUCCAGGAAAAUUUGUGCUCAAAAGUGAUUCUUAACAAAAUUCAUUUGUAUCCCAAAAGUAAGCCCACAGAGUAAAAAUAACUUUUAUAAGCAUGUACCAUUAAUGAACUUUCAAAUAUUCAUUAGCUCAGAGGCAGUGAUUUCCCUACAGAGAGUUUUUCUAUGUUUUUAUUUUUAGCAUGUUUUGCCCUUUCUCUUGAUAAGAUGCCAACUUGUGACAUUUGUUUAUUAUCCUAUUAUUUUCCUUACUUAGCAUGUUAUGCAGUUUGACUCAGAGAAGCUAGGUAACUUAACCAAGGUCACUUGUGUAAAUGGGGGUAGAACUAAACCUCAACCACAGGCCGUGUGGUCCAGACCCCAGACCUGGCACCGCAUUAAAAUAUCUGGAAAAAAAGCCUGCCUUCUCGUAUCACCUCUACCAUUAUUAUAAUGACAAUAAUUUUUGAAUAAAUGAGCUAGGUUUCUUGCUUAGUAUAUAUGAUCUGCUAAUGCAUGCUUGCUAUGCCUAUCUUCCAGCCCAGGGAUAUUCCAGUUUUGAAGUCUAAUGACCUGUUUUUCAGGCUCCUAACCCUUCAAACUCUGAUGUGAUACUGGAUUAAGGCUAGAAAUAUGGAAUGAGCACCCCAAACAAUUCUGUAUACCUCAAAACCUUUUUUUUUCCCCCAGAAACAAAAAUGUUUCUUGGCUGGUUCACUGAAACUGAGGUUCUAUAGGGAGCUUACAGUUAAAAAUGAAAUCACUAUUAUAGUGGGUUGUCACCAUCACCUCCUGUUCUUUUCACGCUUAUCAACUGAACGCAUACUCUGUU
rnacentral:lncRNA from 1 species